rnacentral:rRNA from 1 species
AGCGAACGCUGGCGGCAGGCCUAACACAUGCAAGUCGAACGAUCCUUCGGGAUAGUGGCGGACGGGUGAGUAACACGUGGGAACGUGCCUUUUGGUUCGGAACAACUCAGGGAAACUUGAGCUAAUACCGAAUGUGCCCUUCGGGGGAAAGAUUUAUCGCCAUUAGAGCGGCCCGCGUCUGAUUAGCUUGUUGGUGAGGU